rnacentral:misc_RNA from 1 species
AUCAUUUAGAGGAAGGAGAAGUCGUAACAAGGUUUCCGUAGGUGAACCUGCGGAAGGAUCAUUGUCGAACCUAUCGACCGAACGACCCGCGAACAUGUUGUUUGACAACCUUGCGGGGGCAGAGCGGGCGCGAGCCCUUCACUUUGCUCUCGACGGAUCGGUAGGCCUCGGGAGCCUCGCCCUUAUCGCGUGCCAGGUGCACGUGUGGGGGGCGUCUUGCGAGGGACCUAUCGAUCCAACAACGAACCCCGGCGCGGAAAGCGCCAAGGAAAACACAACGAAACAACACCCUUCCGUCGCCCCGGUCACGGGUGCGUUCGGGGAGGUGUGGUCGUUUUACUCAUAAAAACGACUCUCGGCAACGGAUAUCUAGGCUCUCGCAUCGAUGAAGAACGUAGCAAAAUGCGAUACUUGGUGUGAAUUGCAGAAUCCCGUGAAUCAUCGAGUCUUUGAACGCAAGUUGCGCCCGACGCCAUUAGGUCGAGGGCACGCCUGCCUGGGCGUCACGCACUCGUCGCCCCCUCCACCGCCCGCUAAGGGAGGCACACGGAGUGGGGACGGACAUUGGCCUCCCAUGGAACAUUGUGUCCGUGGUUGGCAAAAAAACCAGUCCCGCGGCGGCGCACGCCACGACAUGCGGUGGUUUGAAACGAACCCAUCCCCCUCUCCCUCGUCUAGAGGAGGAGGGAGGAGAAGCUGAAUGUCGGGCGCGGCGCUUCGCCUCGCGGGGCCUUAUGAAAGACCCGAGACCCUCGAUAGCGACCCCAGGUCAGGCGGGAACACCCGCUGAGUUUAAGCAU